GGAGCUGUAGUAUAAGAAUGUUUGGAAUGUCAUACUGUUUGUGGGGUUGUUGUUUUUUCACGUUAACCCGGUUUUCUCGAAGCAGCAAGUGACUGACAAUGGAGCACGAUUAAUCUACAUCAGGAACAUCUCGCCAGGCGAGUCCCGGCAUCUCAGAGAAGCUUUGAAAAAAAUGGAUUGUGUAAGAAACUACCUGCCUCUUCUCAACAAGGUGUUUAUCGAAUUUCAGUCUCUUCGUGAUGCUGAUCGCCUUGGCGUUUGGUACAGCCUUCUAAAACGGCCCACCGGCCACAAAUUGUCAAGGCUGAAAAUACCACAGUGUGGAUGUACCUCACUGCAAAGCCCAAUCUCAAGGUUCUACGUUCUCCACCAUCAUGUUGACCGGUUUGCCAGAAGGAAACUACAGACAGGAGGAUGUCACCAAGCUGGUGUGGCGUUACGUCCCUGAUCAGACUGUUCAGACUCUGUACUACAAAAUAAUCGUUUUAUCACUGCAGAGGAGGGCCUUUGUGUUUUUUAACAGCUGGGAUGCGUGCUGCGAUUUCGCCAGGGAUUACCUCAAAAAUCCAGUUACUGUUGGAGAGUGGACGCUCAGAAUCCACAUUGUUUUACAAGACAUGCUUCCUGGUACAAGUGAGG
ensembl:lncRNA